UUUAAAUCUGAACUACUUAUUGUAAAAAUAUUGUAAAAGUAUUAUUCAUAAUUAAACAGUGUUUGUAGCUUGACCUAAGGUGUCUGAGGGAACAGUUAAGACUAUAACAAUAGUAUUUUUCCCUGUUACACUUGCUCUUCCCAUGCCACUAAUAGAUUCAUAGAAUAAUAGACUGGUUUGGGUUGGAGUCACUGGAAUCUCAGGGAGUUGGUCAUGAUUCCUCUCUCCUCACCAGCAGUGAAACAAUGAGGCAGAGCAAUGAGGCCCAAUUGUUGGGCUUAGCCCUGCUGUCCCAUUGUCGCCAUUUCCCUCCCCAGGCACCUUUGGGCCGCCAUUUUGUGCCACCACCCUGGCCUGUGAGGCUGUGCUCUCUCUCCUACAACAUCUUGUAUUGCUGCAUGCAUGUCUACAACAACUUUCCCUGUAGGAUCCAUCAGAUAUUUGCUGCAAAACUUGCAGGAGCUGUCUUUGGCUGUGUGAGGAGCCCCUUGGCCCUGCCCCUACUUCGGAUCAACUCAUUAUCCCGAAUAAACGAUGUGUCAUUCCCAUUAUUUAUGUUUCACUGCAGCCAAAGUAUCUGGACCUCGUUUUUGCAUUUAAAGACAAACAGCUGCCUGAGCUUCAGCUGGAGGAGGAAAAGGAAGACACCAUCAAGCAUGAAUGUUGUCUUCUUGCAGGCUGGAAGAAAAGUGGGAAGAUUUAGUUGUCUGCCUCUGACUUUCCACCUUGAAAACUGA
rnacentral:lncRNA from 1 species